rnacentral:rRNA from 1 species
GACGAACCGAGCGAACGUUGUUCGGAAUCACUGGGCUUAAAGGGCGCGUAGGCGGGUGCUCAAGUCAGACGUGAAAUCCCUCGGCUUAACCGGGGAACUGCGUCUGAUACUGGAUGGCUUGAGGUUGGGAGAGGGAUGCGGAAUUCCAGGUGUAGCGGUGAAAUGCGUAGAUAUCUGGAGGAACACCGGUGGCGAAGGCGGCAUCCUGGACCAAUUCUGACGCUGAGGAGCGAAAGCCAGGGGAGCAAACGGG